rnacentral:rRNA from 1 species
UACGUAGGAUCCAAGCGUUGUCCGGAUUUACUGGGUGUAAAGGGUGCGCAGGCGGACUUGUUAGUCAGAGGUGAAAUCUCACGGCUCAACCGUGAAACUGCCUUUGAUACUGCAGGUCUUGAAUUGGGGAGAGAGUUGUGGAAUUCCGAGUGUAGAGGUGAAAUUCGUAGAUAUUCGCAAGAACACCAGUGGCGAAGGCGGACUCGACCUGGC